UCGUACGGACCACUGACGAUAACACUACACCCUUAAAACACGAAGAACAAGCUCUAAUCACAACCUAAAGACACGCAGAGAAUAGAGAAGCCAUUAAUGAAAGUGAAAUUUUUACAACAGUGUUAUCGAAUCGACCAGCCCACGUAAAAAUCGAUAGCGAGAUAAUAUGAGACGGGGAUUGCAUUGAUAAAUGCACCUGGAAAAUAAUACAUAUCUGACAUUCGGGAUCAGCGCCGUCCGCGCCAACAUUCAUCAUGGGGAUUAGACGCCACCGCGCCUCAGCCAAGAUGUCCACCGACACGUCACGGAUUCCGCUCGUCACUACAUCGUAGCGUUAUUAAUAAACGUGUUAAUUCCAUCGAUGCUGUAUCCCGUACAUAUCACGUGGGCGUCUUUUCGCGAAGUUUGGUAGGACGUAAGUCGUGACGCCGUACGUGUGUUUAAGAAUAGACACGCCAUUGAUUUCGUGCGCGCCUCCUAGGACCCAUCGAUGCCCCGUUACCGUUUCAGUGAAGAUUGGCUGUAACGAUGUGGGCUAUACAAUAAAUCAGAUGACAACGCAGUGAGGUCACCUUGACCUACCGCAGACGCAGAAGUACCUGUAAACUGUCCAUCGCUACAACAGCCUACAUCCAUUGUGAACUAGUGCGUCGUGAUUCAAUCGCUCUUGUAGUUAUUGUUUACAUUUGUAUCUAGACAACUGUUGUAUGUAACUUCAACAGUGUUUUAAUAUACUUUUUUAAAUAUAAAA